rnacentral:rRNA from 1 species
CCUUCGGGAGCCGAGUAGAGUGGCGUCCGGGUGAGUAACACGUGGGUAAUUUACCUUCGGGUGGGGAAUAACUCAGGGAAACUUGAGCUAAUACCGCAUAAUGCAGCGGCAGCUUCGGCUGACAGUUGUUAAAGCGGGGGAUUCUUCGGAACCUCGUGCCUGAAGAGAAGCUUGCGGCGGAUUAGGCAGUUGGUGAGGUAAUGGCUCACCAAGCCAGCGAUCCGUAGCCGGCCUGAGAGGGCGGUCGGCCACACUGACACUGACAUACGGGUCAGACUCCUACGGGAGGCAGCAGUCGGGAAUUUUGGGCAAUGGGCGCAAGCCUGACCCAGCAACGCCGCGUGAAGGAUGAAGUUUUUCGGAAUGUAAACUUCACAAGAAUGGGAAGAAUAAGAGAGGGUUAAUACCCCUCUUGAUGACGGUACCAUUUGUAAGCUCCGGCUAACUCCGUGCCAGCAGCCGCGGUAAUACGGGGGGAGCAAGCGUUGUUCGGAUUUACUGGGCGUAAAGGGCGCGUAGGCGGCGCGACAAGUCACUUGUGAAAUCUCCGGGCUCAACUCGGGACGGUCAAGUGAUACUGUCGUGCUAGAGUGCGGAAGGGGCAACUGGAAUUCUCGGUGUAGCGGUGAAAUGCGUAGAUAUCGAGAGGAACACCUGCGGCGAAGGCGGGUUGCUGGGCCGACACUGACGCUGAGGCGCGAAAGCUAGGGGAGCGAACGGGAUUAGAUACCCCGGUAGUCCUAGCCUUAAACGAUGAAAUGCUGGGUGUCCGAGGUU